rnacentral:rRNA from 1 species
CCCGCACAAGCAGCGGAGCAUGUGGUUUAAUUCGAAGCAACGCGAAGAACCUUACCUAGACUUGGCAUCUCCUGAAUUACCCGUAACUGGGGAAGCUCUUCGGAGCAGGAAGACAGGUGGUGCAUGGUUGUCGUCAGCUCGUGUCGUGAGAUGUUGGGUUAAGUCCCGCAACGAGCGCAACCCCUAUCGUUAGUUGCUACCAUUAGGUUGAGCACUCUAGCGAGACUGCCCGGGUUAACGGGAGGAAGGUGGGGAUGACGUCAAAUCAUCAUGCCCCUUAUGUCUAGGGCUACACACGUGCUACAAUGGUGAGGACAAAGAGACGCAAGACCGCGAGGUGGAGCAAAUCUCACAAACCUCAUCCCAGUUCGGAUUGCAGGCUGAAACUCGCCUGCAUGAAGCCGGAGUUGCUAGUAAUCGCGAAUCAGCAUGUCGCGGUGAAUACGUUCCCGGGCCUU